rnacentral:lncRNA from 1 species
UUUUUUUAGAGUAAAAUAUGGAGAGAGUUUGAUUCAGCACAAAAAUCUAAUGAAGUUUUAGCCUUUUAUAGGCAUUCAAUAUGGAGGAAUUUUGGAAAUAUCCAUGAAAUAAGGAUACAAGAUCUACAAAUCAGGAUAUGUGUCCUUUUAAAUUAGAUUUUCGUGAAUAUUUGCUGAGGAAAGUGUUGGGCCAAAAUAUCCGCAGGCCCAACUUGCUCCCAUUGGACCAUUUGUAUCUAUAUACAUUAGGAUCCCGAUUCAUGGGUCUCUCAUAGUUCUAUGAUUCAGAGUAUCAUUUCCUAUUUAAUCCCUUUGAAUUUCAUAUUCAAAGUUGCGAUCAGAUAUGGGCCCGAUCGGUCCGGACAUUUCGCGUCGCCCACCUCAUGCGGGUGCACGUCCAAACCCCGAUGGGUUUGGAUCUGCACCCCCUGCGCUCGAGUCAGGGUUUUAAACUUAGUCAUUCAAUCACCCUUCAAGUGGGUUCUCAUAUAUAUACAUAUCUCACACUUGGUAUUUAACCAAUGUGGGAUCUAAGCUUCUCUUUUCCUCAACAAAUAUUCACAAAUAGCUUACUUUGAACACUAAUUUCUUAUUCAUCACUCAACCAUUUUGAGCAUAUGAUAUACUGUUGUAAAGGUCUCAUGCAGUAGAAUAUAAAACCAUAAUUUUAUGAUUCAACUCUCCACCUUUAUCAAUCAAGAAUAUGCCUCAAAGUUCCCAAAAAUUACAAUUUUUUCCAACAACUGUGAGAAGGAGUUUUGGCUAAAUAGGAUUGUUGGUGUCUUUGUGUCCCUUUACCCUGGUGUUAAGAGGGUAUUUAUAGAGAGAAGUAUGUUGGGCAUAGGCCUCAAUCAUCUAGUAUGUAUGCUCUAAUAGAGUGGUGGAUGCCAGUUUAAGGCAUUAUUGGAGUUGACUUGAAAGGACUAGAUAAGGGGUUUGUCAAAUGUGAUGGAUUGAUGGGUGUUGUCCAAGGUCUUUCCAGAUAUAUCUUUUGUAGAUUUUAUGUGCCUACUAAGUAUGAAAUUUAGGUGAAGGCGUGACACUAAGUGGAACAGCUCAUUUUUCAGUGGUCUCAAAAACGGUGGUUUUGGAGUCUCAUUUUCGACAAGUGAGUCCAUAAUAAUAUUUACGAUGUUAGUAUAAAUUUUAAUUAAAUUUUGGUUCUUUAAUUUUUUUUCAAUUGGACAUUUAAUUAAGAUAUAAGGACUAAACUAUAAAAGUGGUAAAUGUUAAUCGCUAUGGAUUUUUAAUUAAUUAAAGGACCAAUUGAGCAAUUUAAGCCUUCCAAUUAUGUUAAACGAUAGUGGGGAUGAGUUCUAAACCAUAAAAAGUGUUAAUUAAGCUUAAGUUUAAUUAAUUAUAAGUUAAUUAAGUUAAUUAUAAUUAAUUAAUAAACUAAUUAAAAUGUAUAAGCCAAAUUAAAAGAAAAUAAAAAUCAUUUCUCUUCAUCUUUCUUCUCCGGAAGAACUAUGGUUUCAAACAUUUCAAUCUUUAAUCCUUCGAUUGGAAAGCAAUCUCAAAUCCAUUUCUUGUAAUUUCUCUUCAUCUUUCUUCUCCAGAAGAACUAGGGUUUCAAACAUUGUGAUGUCAUUUUGAAACUUUGAAAAUGUCGCAAUUCCGUCCUAAUGCGAUUUCGGGUUAAUUCUAAAGCAUACGUAGGUUUGUAUAAGACUCGAGAAAGGUUGUAUAUAAUGAUUAUGAAUUAAAAUGGUUAAGAUUGUAUGAUUUCUGUUUAAUUUGAAUGUUAGUUUUUUAUAGUUGCCCCGACAACGAUUAUAAUAUCUCGUAACUCGGACCUGACGAUCGGAUCAAGCGAGGGAUGUUACAGCAAGUCCAUUUAGUGAAGCAAUGGCAAGGUUGUGUUGCCAACUCAUUAGAGGAUGAUUAUUCUAAUGAGAAAGCUUUAGAAGUAUAAUAAUAUCCAAAAAUGUCUCUUCUCACCUUAAAAAAAAAGUGUUUUAUUUCAUUUUAUUUUAUUUUUUUAAUAUUUUAUAACCAAUGCAAGUUGCAAGCAUCCAAAGUCCUUGGAAGAUUAUCUAAUAUCAAAGCACUACACUAAGUUUCAAAUCCAAUUAAUAAGUCAAACAAUUUUUGGUUUCUGCAAAUUACUAGAAAAUAGGAAUAAAUAGUCUUUAAAAUUAUUUUAAACACUUUAGUAAUGUUAAAAUUGCCUUUUAAUAUAUCUACAUCCUAGCUGUAGGAGAAAUAAAGAGUGGGAAUUGGGAAUUAAUAAAGGCAAAAUGGAAAAUUUAUCAACUCUUUUGUUAUGAAUAAAGUCAUUAUGAGAUCGUUAUUUGAAAAGCAGUUGUUUUUAUAUAAUAUCAAAUUAGACUUUUCAUUUUUCAUUAAAAAUUUAAUUUCCAUUUUUAUAUAAUUUUUUAUUAUAAUUGUGAUUCGAUAAUGUUAGAGAUCGACCUGAUUAAGCAACGAACAAGUACAAAUAAUGGAAGAAAUUGAUAAAUUGAACACAUAAAUUUAACGUAAAAAAACUCAUCCAAAUAGAUAAAAAAAACCACCAGCAAAGAUAAUUUUACUAUAAUGGAAAAAGAACGAAGAGUACCAAAGAUGAAGAUAAAAACUAAACCCCAAAAUCUGGAAAUAAAGAACCCUCAAAACGUAAACAUAAAAUUCUCCAAAAGUGUUACGAGUUAUAACCUUUAAUGAGUGUAUUUUCUAAGGUUGUAAAAGAGUUUAUUUAUAAACUAAAUUCGUAGGUCAAAUAGAUCAUGCUAAUAAAUGCUAAAUAUAUUAUACUAAUAAAUACUAAAUCUUCUAGAAAGAAUGUAUUUUGUUUAACUUGUUUUACAAGCAAUCUCUUAUUUUAUUUAACAGGAAAUUGGGUCACACAACUCUAACAAUAUCCACUUGACACGAAUUCUCACAACGCUAUCUUUGUCAAAGCCCACCAUGGGCCUAUCUUGAACUAUGCAGGGAAUUAACUGAGUCGAAUCUAUGCAUAGAAGCUAGAAGACUUCUAGCCUUCAACUUGUGCACUGCCAAAACAAAACUAACCCGGGUCUAAUUUUCACGAACACAGUGCCCUAACUUUUCAUAAUCUGCAUCCAAAAGAGAACCUCUGUUCAAUGAAACGGUCAUACGUUUUUCCCUCCUAUGACCAAGUUGCCUUUGAUCCAAACGAGUUGACUUCGACUCCAUAACAGACGAGUGACAUCCGGUUUCAUCGAUUACUGUAGAACCUUCUAGAAUAUAAAGACUAUCAGUCAUUUUACCUUUUAUCAAAAUGAGAGCCCCAUGAGAUACCUUAAUGUUGCUCAAAUCGAUGUUUAUUUUGCAACCUUUUGAGUCUAAAAUACUCAAGAAAAUGAUAUUCUUUUGUAAAUCAGGUACAUACCUGACAUCUAGGAGUGUCCUAAUCAUCUCAUCGUGCAUCAUAAUUUUAACAAUACCAAUACAGAUUACCUUACUGGAUGAAUCAUUUCUCAUGCGCACAACUCCACUAUCAACCAAACUGUAUGUGGAGAACCAUUCUCUGUUGGGACACAUGUGGAAAGAUCAUCCUGAAUCUAGGAUCCACUCAUACGCAAGCUCAGAGCUAUCGCUUGUUGACACUAAUAAGAAAUCAUUUCUUCGAUGCAACCAAAAUGGAACCUUCCUCGUUACUUUUAGCAUCCUUUUUAUUUCUCAAUUUAUAACAAUCUACUUUGACGUGACCUAACUUCUUACAAUAGCGACACAUUUUGUCUCAUUUCUUUGAUGUAACCAAAAUGGAACCUUCCUUAUCUGCCUUGCUAUCUAAACCAAACUCAUUUUUGAGUUUGUCUUUACUCAACAACUGACCCUUCACAUCCUCGAACGACAGUUUGUCUCUACCAUAAAUCAAGGUUCCUUAAGACUUGUAUGAAGAGGGUAAAAAGUACAAUAAUAGCAUAGUCUGAUCUUCAUCGUCAACCUUAACCUUAACAUUCUUUAAAUCAUUCAAAAAAGUAAUAAAUUGACAAAUGUGAUCUCUAAAAAACUCAUCCUCGUUCAAGCAAAACGUAAAUAGACGUUGUUUAAACACUAAACGGUUAGCCAAAGACUUAGUUGCAUAAAGACUUUCUAACUUAUUCCGUAAGACGGAUGAGGGUUUCCCCAUCAAUACCUCCUACAAUACCCUAUUUGUGAGACAUAAUUGGAUUGUAAUGCACUGAAUAAUUUAUUUUUAUUUCUGUAAAUACUUGACACAAAUGUGUAUCUGUUUCAGUGGCUAAGUGUUCUGGGUGUGUGUUUGAGGUCUUGGGUUCAAGCCCCACUUUUGACAAUUUUGUUAUUUUAGAUCCUAGCCUUAUCCUUGUUAAAUGGGCUUAUAUAAAAUUGUCUGUUAAUCCAUAUUAGAAUGAGUCUAUUGGAUCGAGUGGUAAAGGGGUUAGUAUAUUGGAGGUCUUGUGUUCGAAUUCUUAUGUUAGUGAGGGUGUUAAUUUUUGUUCGGUUGUCUGAUAGAGUUUCAGUUGAGCUAAAAUUUUGAUGUAGUUGUGAGUUAGUGGGUUAGUGGGAGAGAAAUAGGGGAUUUCAAAUUUUUUUUUUCAAAUUUCAUUUUUCUCUCUCCUCCAGGAAUUCUGAGGUGAGUUUCUUCCUCCAUUCUUUCUCCUGGCUAAUCUGUGCAAAUUUUCUCUUUGCUUCUCGUGUUAAACCUGAAUUCUGGUGCUUGUCGUGGGAUAUAGGUAAUAGGGUUACUUUCGUUUUAAGUAAUAUUUUUGGUAAACUGUUUGAUAUAUCAUCUCCGUAGUUACGUUUUUGGCGUAGAUAGGGGUUUGAUUACUGCAAAAUUUUUGUAGGAGAAGGCGUUGGUGAAAGAGUUUCGCUCUGAUGGUCUAAACCGUGUUGAUAUUUGUUCUUGUCGACAGUAAGUUAUGUGCGUUAUUUCGGGAUUAUGUGUCGAUUCGUAAAUUGAUUGCUACUUGGUCAAUGGGAUGUUGUUUCUUAUGUUUUGGAGGGCUCGGGAUUGCUGUAGUAUUUAAAAUGAACUAGGUGUGUUCCCAAAACGCAAAAAAUCGGGUUGACUUAACUUGCAAAUUUAUUUUAUUUAACUUGACUUGCAAGCAAUCUCUUAUUUUAUUUAACAGGAAUUUGGGUCACACAACUCUAACAAAUAAUUAUAUUUAAUUUUAUUUUAUAAAUGUUAACAAAUAUGUAUAUUAUAAACCAUUAUUUUAUAAAUAUUAUAAUUGGUCACAAUUAUAAAAAAAUAGAGAUGAUAAUUGAAUUUUUGAAAAAAAUAAUAAAGGUGAGUAUAUUUAAUUACAAAAUAAAAUAAAAUAAAAUGGUGAUCCGCCUCAAGGAGGUAAAAAGCCACAAGACAUUACCGAUAGGCGUUAAGCCCAUAUAUUUUGAAUUGUGCUGAACGGGUCCAAGGGCAAAAACAGUCUUAUCUUUUAAUCCAAGUUAAUUUAAUUACAAUAUUAUAUUUUAUCCACUAAAAUUCUUUUAUAAUACUUCAUGCUCACUUAGAAUUAGAACAAAAAUUAAAGCAACACUCUCAAGUUAUUAAAAAAAUUAAGGGUAAACUAUUAAAAUAGUUACUUUUAUUUACUUCAAAUUACAUUUUAAUCAUUUAUGUUUGAAAUGUUACGUUUUUGUCACUUACAUUAACGUGUUGUAACAUUUUAGUCACUCAACCAUUAAUUAUCGUUAACGGUGUAACAAUAAGCUGACGUGGCAUGUUGAAUAUCAUUUCAAACAAAAAAAUUAGGUUAAAUUAUACAAUUAGUCCCCAUGUUUUUUCGUUUUAAGCAAUUUAUUUAUUUUUCUUUUAUGUUCUUUUAACUUUCUUUUUUAUCUUUUUUUCUAUUCUCUUAUGCUUGUCUCUCUGUUUUCCUCCCUUCUCCAUCCUUUUUAAUGCAGUUUUUCUAUAUUUUAGAUAUGUUGAAACUUUUUUAUGUUUAUGAAAACAGAAAAGGCGAAAGCUGAAACCAAAAUAAAACUUGCUUCGCAUAUUCACACCCCACAAUUACAAGCUCUCAUCGUCCAUCAUCGCUUUAACGAACCAAUUUGGAUCUCUCAAUUGCCGAGUCCACAAGCUCGCCUCACUCGAACACCUCGCCAGUUGCUACUUAUGGCAGUCCAUCCUCAACAAAGUUUCUCAAGCACGUUCCCUUAACCUCCUAACCAACCCCCACGACCACUUUAUCUAUCUUACCUACAGUAUUCCACUCUCUUGAAACUAUGUUGUUUCAUGGAUUCUUAAAACGAGCUCUACACUUUUAAUGACUAAAACAACCACUAUACAAAACUUACCCUCAACUUUACCCAAACUAGUUUGGUUCCAUGCUCCCUUUCUCUCUUUGAUUCAUCCAUGUUCGGUUUCCAAUCAAGCUUGCUUGGAAAUAUUCAAGAAGAUUUAGAUCAAAUUUAUCAUUUGCUUAAUUUUAUUCGUUAGAAAUUAAAAGAAAAUGAAAGGAGUAAUCUACAUGAUUCUAUAAAAGUUUGGAAAUGCAAAAUUUUUGUUUUAAAUAUAAAGAAUUCAAUUUAUGUUUUGAUUUGAUUAAGGAUAUGAUUUUUUUUUAUAUUGAUUAGUUAGAUCCAAUUUUAGUUUCAAAAUUAGGUUAUAUCUAAUCGAUGUGUGAUUAAGAAUGAUUGAUAUUUGGUUUUGAGUGAAAUUCAAUUUAGGAAUUAUGUGAAAGAAAUAACGACUUUGUUUAUUUGGUGGGUAAAGAUUAUGUUUGUACAGUGAAGAAUAUGAGAAGAGAUAAAAAUAAAGGGAAGAAUAAAAGGAAAAUAAAGAAAAAAAUUAAAAUUUUCAAAACAUAAAAGUAUAGGUACUAGUUUUAACAAAUGAAAAAUAUAGAAAACUAUAUUAAAAGAAAUGGAGAAGAGAGAAAAACAGAGGGAGAAGGAGAAUGGAAAAAAAAGUUCAAAGAACAUAAAAGAAAAAAAUUUAAAUUGCUCAAGACGAAAAAUAUAGGGACCAAUUGUAUAAUUUAGCCUAAAAUUUUCGUUUGAAAUGAUGAUUUAAUGGGUCACGUCAACUUACCAUUACACCAUUAAUGACAAUUAACAUUUAGUGACUAAAAUAUUACAAUACGAUAACGUAAAUGACUAAAACGUAACAUUUCAAAUCUAACUAAAAUGUAACCUGAGACAAACAAAAGUGACUAUUUUAAUAGUUUACCCAAAAAUUAAAUUAAAACUAAGUAUCCCAAGGACUAUAAAUAAUAAAGGAUAAACUUUCAUUUGUAACUUCAAAUAUGGAUAUAAAUUUUAGGAAAUUAAAAGUUUAAAUAAUACGAUAAAAUAUAUUUAUAAUUGAUCAACUAUAUUUAUAAUUUUAACUUUUUUAAAAAUAUUUUACAGUUAUUAAAUAUCACAAUAUAUAUUUUAUAAUAAAUGACAAUAUAUAUCAAGCGCAGUGGCGGAGCCAGAAAAUUCUUUUUGGGGCUAAAAUUAAAUUGUAUAUUUUUACGAUAGUAAAAAUGUAAUUUCAUCAUUUUAAUAGUCUAUAUCUUUAUAAUUUUUAAAAAGUUAAAUCAAAUUUUUAUCAUUUUUGGGAGGGUAAAGUGUAAUUUUACCAUUACUAAUUUAAAAUUUUAUAAAUUAUAAAGAGCCUAAAUUAAAAAUCUACCAUUUUAAAGGGCGCAUGGCCUCCAGGGUCUCUUAGUGGCUCCGCCACUAAUUAGGAAAGGGUGUAGAAUUUUUGUAGGGAGGUCAAAAUUUAAUUAUAAAAUUUUGAGAGGUCAAAACAUAAUUUUACCAUUUAUAAAUUUACAAUUUCAUCAAUUUUUAAGGGAUUAAAAAUAAUUUUUUUAUUUUUAAAAGGCCAAAGUACAAUUUUUAAUACUUAUUGGUGUUUUAGUAAGUAUUUGUAUCCCAUCAUCAAUAUCUUUAUCAAGUUAAUUGAGUUCAUAAGUAAAAAAAAAAAUAGAAUUUGAUAAUGAAGUCUGUUGGUCUGGUAUAAUAAUUUUUAUUCUAUUACAAUUAUAAUGAAUUUUAUAAUGAGCGAAACUGCAAAAAUGUGAGUAUUCAUAAAUAUAAAAAUUAGAAUUUGACAAUGAAGUAUCUUGAUUUGGUGUAAUAAUUUUUAUUUUAUUUCUGUUAUAAUGAAUUUUAUAGUGAAAGAAAAAGAAUUUGAUAAAGAAGUCUUCUAGUUUGGUCUUGAUUAUACUUGAGUAGAAAGGGUGUUAUGAUUCUAUACCACUCAUCAACCAAAAAUUGGAUGUAUAUAACAUGAUAAUGGAAGUGUAUUAUUGAUACUUACUAUACCCAUCAAAUGAAAAUCACCACUUAAAAAUGAUAUAGAAAUAAAUAUGUUUGCUCUUUUAUUAUUCACCGGUUUUAUCAAGGGGAGUAUUAAGGUUAAUAUUCAUAAAUUCUUAUCCAAUUUUAGCUCCAAGGAUAGAUCAAUAAACCUAUAUUGGAACACUAAAUAUACAAAAAGAGUGGUUUGUUUCGAUGCAGUCUCUAGAAAUAACCAGAUUGUGAUAUUGGGAUUAGAAUUACAUCAGGAAGUAGUAUGCAUGAUUUUAAUUACACAUUAUUUAUUGUUGGUAGUGAAUGAAAUUUCAAAACAUAUAAUUACCUGUUGAAAAAGAUGAUGAUUAUUUGGUGAGUAUCUAGUCUUAUGGAAGAUGAUGCUGCUUGGGAAUACAAAAUAUUGGUAAUUGAUUUGGACCGAAAUUCCUCAAAGCAGUCCCUUUGAUUAUGGACUUUAGAUUGGAUUGUGGUUCUGUUGAUAAGCUAUCAUAGAGUCCAUAUUUAUUUCAUAUGUUAAUAUCAUAUUCUAUUACUCUUAUUGCAUUACUAUUUUAUUGAGAUUGUAUUAGAUCUUCUAUUAUAAGCAAAUCUCAAAAUCAAUGUCUAUAUAUUUAAGAGACUUGCCUAGGAAUAUUUUUGUAAAAGUGUUAUUUUUAAAGUAAAACCAGUUGUUGUGAGUUUUACUUUUUAUGAUCACAAAGGGUGUUAACAGUGGUAAGAGUCUUGUAUCAUUAAAGUGCAAGGGUGAGGAAAAUGAUCAUUGUGUGUGUGAUUCAGUAGGUUCACUUUCUAAUUGUUGAAGAGAGUGCAUAUUUCUCACUGAGCUAGACUCCGCAAAUGUAGGGAAACCGAAUUGCAUAAUCAUCUUUCUAUGUUCUAUAUGUUUUCUAUUUUUCUCAUUUAGUGCCUGGAGAAGUGCCUACCAACUUAGGAACCAAUUUCUUUCUGCUAUUUUGGCUCUUAGCAACAUCCUUUUUCUUGAAUUUGGUACCCUAAGUGUAGUAUAUUCAUUUUGUAUACUUGUAUUUUUUUGAAAAAAUUGGUUUGAUUAAAAUAUUCAUAAAUUACAUUAAUACCCUUGUAUAUUAUCCUCAAUGGCUUUUGUACGAAAAGAAAAAUGAAAUCAAAUAUUAGUUCAUUUAUUACCUAAUGUUUAACUAAUACCAACCGGUAUUACGUGAUCGGAUUGUAAUGCGGAAAGAUAAUUUAUAUUAAUAGAUGAACCUAAACAUGUCAUUAGUCUAAUUGGAAAUAAACAAUGAAAAGCUAAUAUGUUGUCUAUCAAGUCCAAUUGAGGAGAUGUUUUAUCUUGAGCAUCAAAGCAAAUAACUCCUAAAAGAUAGAGACAUAGAUAUGACUCAUUAGACUGACAAUACAUUGGAUGUAACACCCCAAAACCCGACUGUAACACCCCUAACCCAUAUCCGUCGCCAGAAUAGGGUUACGAGGCAUUACCGGAUAAUACACAUCAUUCACAUACAUUUAUGCAUUCAUAAUUAAUAUCCAUUCAACUCAUCCAUAUUGUCCCUUAUAAGAUCCUACGAGACCUUAAAACAUGCUUAAAAGUAGUUCAGGACUAAACCGAUAACAUUUGCAAACUUUAGGAAACCUAUAAAAUUUUCAAUCAUUUAAAGGUCACACGCCUAUGUGAACAGGCCGUGUGCCUCUCACGGCUACCAGACACGCCCGUGUCACAGAUCGUGUGAAAAUAGGGCAUACAUUCUGACUUGCACCACACGGCCAAAAACACGCCCGUGUGCCAGACCGUGUGAAUACUAGAGGGGUUACUAACUUGGGUCACACGGCCGACCACACGCCCAUGUUCCAGCCCGUAUGUCACACAAGGCCAGUAGACACGUCUGUGUGUCUAGGCCAUGUCAAACCUAUAGGUUAUACUAACUUAAUUUGAAAGGGUACCUCAGGGGACACACGGCCGUGUAGCAUGACCGUAUGUCGCACACGGCUGAGAGACACGCCCGUGUCUCUGCCCAUGUGGACAAAAAUAGGCUAUUUGCAAAGCCAAUUUUCCACCCUUUUCUCAAGCACACCAAGCAACCAAUAUGGUACCAUUUCAAUACAUUUAUAGGCAGCCAAAACAUGCCAAUUCAUAUACAUUUCAUGCCAUUUAUAAACCAUUCUCUUAAAUACUUAAAUCCAUAACCAAAACAUACCAAAUUAAUAUGCCAAAAUCAUCAAACUUACAUAAUUUCUAAAUGCAUUUCCUCAUCAUCUUAUCAUCUAUUUCAUGCUUCAAAUCAAACCAUUUCAUCAUCUCAAAACCAAGCCACAACAUAUUAUCAUUCAAGCAUUAACUCACCAAGUGACAACUAGUUACUUGAGCAACCAUAUAACCAUACCAAACAAACCAAAACAUAUGAUAACUUAUACAUCAUGAAUUACUUACCAAACACCUAAUUCAAGCAACCUUAAAUGGCCAUACACACCAACAUUUACAUCAUUUCACAAGCCAUUACAAAUGGCUAAUAUCAUAUCUCAAAACUUAUCAUCAAACUACUAGCCUAUACAUGCCAUAUACCAUAUUUAGAAAGCUUCAAAAGCACCAACAAGAUGAUCGAUAGUGUGAUGACGUUUCCUGACAAUCCCCGAGUCCAAGCUAGCUUCGAUAACCUAUAAACUAGGGAAAGAACACAAAAAGUAAGCUUUAAAAGCUUAGUAAGCCAUAUACAAAUAAAGUCAUCACAUGAAUAUUUGCAUAUCAAUUCAAAUAUGUUAAGCAUAGCUAAACACAUACAAGUUCACAAACCUUUUUCAUUGUACACAUAUUUAAUAUCAUAAUUGAAUUCAUCAAAUACUUCCCUUUUCAAUACUCUAAUAAAUCUCGUACGAACCUGAGUCACUUAACUCAUGCAUACAUUCUUUCUGGACUUGGCUUUGCCUGUUGAACCAUUCGAAAUCGUUAUAUUCAGCAAUCACAUAUAGCUCGUACAAUGCCAUGUCCCAGAUAUGGUCUUACAUGUUAUUACAUAUCGAUGCCACUGUCCCAGACAGGGUCUUACACGAAAUUGAUUAACGAUGCCAAUGUCCUAGACAUGGUCUUACACGUAAUCACAAUACAAUGCCAAUGUCCUAGACAUGGUCCUACAUGUAAUUACAUCUCGGUAACCUAAUGUCAUGACAUUUGUAUCCUAUACUAUUCCUAAGGCUUGUACGGGACUUUCAGAUAUUGUAACUUCGUCGAUUCUUGCUUGUAUUUACUUGUUCAACAUUCAUAGUAGUUCAAGGACAAAUAAACAUAUGUAAUUCAAUUUAAAGACAUUUAUUUGCACAUGAACUUACCUCGUAUAUACACUGAACGGAUCGGAUCGACUACUCAACAACAUUCGAUUUCCCUCGAUCUAAAUCCAAUUUCUUUCGUUCUUGAUCUAUAUACAUUCAAAAUUAACUCAUUUAUUAAUCAAAUCAUUCAAUUUCAUCCAAAAAUACCUAUUUGGGCAUUUUUACACUUUAGCCCCUAAAGCUUCACAUUUAUAUAAUUUAGUCUUUAUUUCACAAAAACACAAAUUACACUAAAUUUGACAAAACCCAUGCUUGGCCGAAUUUACUAUAGAUCCCUGCAGCACUUAACUUUCAUUUAUUCACACUUUUAACCCCCACAUUUUCAUCUUUUCACAAUUUAAUCCCUAAUUUAUGUUUUCUUAAAAAAAUCACUUGACAAAACAUAUUAAUCUAUCAAUAAUUAUUAAUUUUCCAUCAUCAACAUUCAAAAAUAUCAAGCUAUCAUCAAUGGAAACUCAAAAAUUCAUCAACCAAUAAAGAAAUUAGGGUACGGGCUAGCUAGUUCUCAAAGAACCGAUCAAAAAAACUUAAAAAUCAUCAAAAACUGAGCUAAAAUCGUACCUUAAUCAAUAAAAGAGUUUGCCGAACCCUAUAUGAGUGUAAAAGCUUUUUCUUCUUCUUUAAUUUCGGUUAAAAGAUAAUGAUAACACAGAAUUUUGGUUUUGGUUUUAUUUAUGUUAAGUUUAUUUAACAAAUUACAUAUUUAACCUUAACUAAACCAUUUAGAAUCAUCAUAAUAUAUGCCCAUUUAUGACCAUUCCCACUAUCAAUGGUCUAUUCACAACAUAAACACCUUUAAUUUAACUUAUAGCAUGCUACUUUUGCAUUUGAUGCGAUUUAAUCCUUUCGUCAAAUUAAGCACUCAAACACUAAAAUUAUUUUACGAAAUUUUCACACAAACAUAUUUACAUGCUAUAAACAGCAAAAACAACAUUAAAAUAAUUUUCUGAUGACGGAUUUUUGGUUACAAAACCACUGUUCCAGUUUAGCUAAAAUCAGCCUAUUACAACUUUCCCCCCUUAAGGAUUUUCGUCCCCAAAAAUCAUGUGAAUAGGUUUGGAUAUUGUUCUCUCAUAGCAUCCUCGGGUUCCCACGUAGCUUCUUCAAUCCCGUGUCGAUGCCAUAAUACUUUCACUAAUGCAAUUUUCUUAUUUCUCAGUUCUUUGAUCUCACGAGCUAGAAUCUGAAUUGGUUCUUCACUAUACCACAUAUCUGAUUGAAUUUCAACCUCAGUCGGGGAAUUUACAUGUGAAGGGUCAGAUCAAUAACACCGAAGCAUCGAUACAUAAAAAACGUCAUGAAUCUUCUCUAACUCGAUCGGUAAAACUAACCGAUAUGCCACUAGACCUAUUCUUUCAAUGAUCUCAUACGGCUUAAUGAAUCCCGGACUCAAUUUGCCUUUACGACCGAAUUGAAGUAUUUUCUUCCAUGAAGACACUUUCAAAAACACUUUCUCCUCGGUCUGAAACUCAAUAUCUUUCCGUUUCAAAUCUACGUAUGAUUUUUGACGAUCUGACACUGUUUUUAGACUAUCACGAAUUACUUUCACUUUCUAUUCAGUCUCUUUAAUCAAAUUGACCCCAUGAAUCUUAUUCUCACUUAGCUCGAUCCAGUACAACAGUGUUCAACACUUUCGACCGUAUAAAGCUUGUACGGUGCCAUUUUAAUACUCGAUUGGAAACUAUUGUUAUAUGUGAAUUCAACCAAUGACUAAUACUUUUCCCACGUACCUUCGAACUCAAGAAUACAACAUUUCAACAUAUCCUCGAGUAUUUGUAUAACUCGCUGGGAUUGACCAUCUGUCUGUAGGUGAAAUGCAGUACUAAAAUAUAAUUUUGUACCCAGCACAUCUUGCAGUUUCUUCCAAAACCUCAAUGUUAACCUCGGGUCUCUAUCCGAAACAACAGAAAUAGGUACUCUAUGUAAUCUCACAACCUCGGAGAUAUACAACUCAGCUAACUUUUUUAACGAAUAGUACGUUUGUACCAGAAUGAAAUGAGUCGAUUUUGUUAAUUUGUCAACUAUAACCCAGAUCGCAUCUUUCUUUCUCGGAGAUAGGGGCAAUCUCGACACAAAAUCCAUAGUCACUCUAUCUCAUUUCCACUCGAGAAUCAUAGUCGGCUGCAAUAAAUCAGACAGUACCUGAUUCUCAGCUUUAACUUGCUGACAAAUCAAACAUUUAGAAAUAAACUCUGAAAUAUAUCAUUUCAUACCAUGCCUCUAAUAAAACUAUUUUAAGUUGUUAUACAUUUUUGUACUUCCUGGAUGAACAAAAUAACGACUAUUAUGUGCUUUGUUCAAAAUCAUCUGAAUCAACCCUGAAUUUCUUGGAACACAUAUUCGGUCUCUGAACCUUAAACAAUCAUCAGCAUCAACUUGAAAUUCUGAAUCAGGGUUCGAAUCACAUUGAACUCGUUUGGCUAACAUUUCAUUAUCAACUUUCUGAGCUUCACAAUAUGCUGUAAAACAACGGUCUCGCUUUCAACUCAGCUAAAAUUGAGUCGUCUUCAGAUAGAGCCAACUGAGUAUUCAUUGCACAAAGAGCAAACAAAGAUUUCCUGCUUAAUGCAUCAGCAACAACAUUUGUUUUUCCCAGAUGGUAGUCAAUCACUAGCUCAUAAUCUUUUAGUAAUUCUAACCAUCUUCUCUGUCGUAAAUUCAAAUCUUUCUAAGUCUUCAGAUAUUUCAAACUCUUGUGAUCUAAAUAAACAUAACAUUUCUAACCAAACAGAUAAUGGUGUCAAAUCUUCAACGCAAACACAAUAGCUGCUAACUCCAAAUCGUGCAUCGGGUAAUUCUUUUUAUGCAGUUUCAACUGUCUCGAGGCAUAAGCUAUGACUUUGUCUUCCUAUAUCAAAACCCAGCCCAAACCAUUAACAAUGCAUCACUAUAGAUCACAAACUCUCUACCCGAUUCUAGCUAUACUAACACUGGAGCUUUAAUCAAAAGAGCUUUCAGUUCAUCAAAACUUUUCUAACAUUUCUCAAACCAUUCAAACUUUACAUCUCUUUAAAGCAAUCUCGUCAACAGAGUAACAAUCAUUGAAAAGCAUUUCACAAAUCGUCUAUAAUAUCCUGCUAGUCCCAGAAAACUGCGGACCUCAGAAACAUUUCUUGGAGGCUUCCAAUCUAUUAUUGCAGAAAUCUUACUCGGAUCGACUUGGAUACCCGCGGCUGACACUAUAUGACCCAGAAAACCAACCUCACAUAACCAGAAUUCACAUUUGCUGAACUUUGAAUAUAAUUGCAUAUCACGCAGAGUCUGCAAUACAAUUCUCAAAUGCUCGGCAUGUUCAUUUUCAUCUCGUGAGUAAAAUGUCAUCAAUGAAUACAACUACAAAUUGAUCUAGGUAAGGUCUGAAAAUCCAGUUCAUUAAGUCCAUAAAGACAGCAGGUGCAUUUUUUAGUCCAAAAGGCAUAACAAAGAAUUCAUAAUGACCAUACCUCGUUCUAAAUGCGGUCUUUAGCACAUCAAAAUCUUUAACUCGCAACUGAUAAUAGCCCGAUCUCAAAUCUAUCUUUGAAAACAUUGUUUCCCCUUUUAACUGAUCAAACAAAUCAUCUAUUUUGGGUAAAGGAUAUUUAUUCUUUAUCGUCACUUUGUUAAGUUGUCGGUAGUCUAUACAUAUUCUCAUCGUGCCAUCUUUCUUUUUCACAAAUAAUAAGGGAACUCUCCAGGGCGAGAAACUCGGUUGUGCAAAUCCUCUAUCUAUUAACUCUUGCAACUGAGAUUUCAAUUCUUUUAACUCUGUCGGAGCCAUUCUGUAUAGAGCUAUCGAUAUAGGAGUCAUUCCCGGCACUAAUUCAAUACCAAAUUUAACUUUUCGAAUAGGUGGUAAUCCCAGCAGUUCUUCAGGAAACACAUCCAGAUAUUCAUGCACAACUGGUACUGAUUCAAUCUUCUUUUCAGUCACUUUCGUAUCAAGCACAUAAGCAAAAUAAGCUUCGUAACCCUUUCUCACAUAUAUCUGAGCUAACAUUGAUGAAAUCACUGCUGGUAAACCGUUCAAAUCAUCUAACUCAAUCCGGAUAAUCUCAUUAUUCUAACAUCUCAGAUCAAUCGUCUUUCGCUUACAAUUCACAAUAGCAUCAUGCAACGUUAGCCAAUCCAUACCCAGAAUUAUAUCAAAUUCAUCAAAUGCUAACAACAUCAGAUCAGCCGAAAAACAGAAAACUUGAAUCAUUAAUGGACAGUUCUUGCACACUUUAUCAACCAACACACUUGCCUAAAGGUUUCGAUACUCUAAUUACAAAUUCAGUAGACUCUACAGGCAAAGUCUUACUGGAUACUAAAUUCACACAUAUAUACGAAUGAGUUGAUCCUCGAUCUAUCAAUACAAUAACUUUAGUAUCAUAGAGAGUAAAAGUACCAGUAAUAACAUCUAGAGAUGACACUUCUUCGCGAGCACGAACAGCGUAAGCUCGUGCAGGUGCUCUGGCUUCAGACUUUACAGCAGAGUCUUUGGUCGUUCUUUGACUACCACUCACAUUAACAACAUUUCUAGUUGCUCUACCUCUAGCUACAGUGUUACUAAGCCUCGUGUUUUGUACUGUAUCUUGCUCAUCUAACUCAGGACAGUUACGAAUAAAAUGAUCUAAUGAUCCGCAUUUAAAACUGGCCCGAUCAUUCAAUCUACAAUCACCGAUAUAACGUUUUCCACAAUGUUUACACUCAGGUAGGUUUUGUCUCACACUACCAACACUAGCAAUAGAAGUAGCUUGAGCUUUAGAACUCACAGGUUACUUUUCACAAUCCCUAUUUGAAUGUCCCACAGAUGCAUUAGAACGAUUAAACGAGUCUCGAAAUUUCUUCAAUGCAGACUGAUAAGAUUUACUAGUUGAUCUCAUUCAUGAAUCUCUUGCUUCAAAAUCAGCUUUUCUCUUUUCUUUAUUGAGAUCCUCUGUUUAACAAGCCCUUUCAACCAAAACAAUGAAUUCUUUCAAUUUAAAAAUCCCGACUAACAAUUUUAUAUCCUCGUUCAGUCCAUCAAUGAACCUUUUACAUGUACGAAUUCUCUUUCAUACUCAGUGACAGUCAUCUGACCUUGUUUCAAUUCUAGAAACUCUUUAUGCUUCUGAUUGAGGAAUUGCUGACUUAUAUACUUUUUUCAGAACUCGGAUUGGAAGAACUCCCAAGUAACCCGUUCUCUAGGAACCACAGAUGUCAACGUUUUCCACUAGUGGUAUGCAUUAUCUCUAAAUAAAGAUACCACACAUUUGAUACAUUCUUCAGUAGUACAGGAAAAUUCAUCGAAUACUCAGAUAGUACUCUCGAGCCAAAACUCUCUCAGCAUCAUUAUCAACGGUAGACCUGAACUCCUCAGCGCCAUGUUUACGUAUCUUAUCUACUGGCAGCUUACUCAACCGAAUCGGAUCUAUCACUUGUGGCACAGUUAGGAUUUGUUGAGGAAUAGGCGAGAGUGGAGGUUGUUAAGCAGCCGGGUUCGUUCGAACGAACUCCGUGAACCACUUACUCAUCAAUUGGAAGAAGGCUUGCUUAGCCUCUCCCCCAUGACUACUUGAAAUGGGCCGAGAAUCAGCCGGCGCUGCUCCUUGAACGGGAGCGGGCGCAUUACUUUCCACAUUGUCAGCUAAAACUCAAUCAGGAUAUAUUACUAUACAAAAAACACAUUUUAACAGUUAGGAAUCAUCACACUAUCGUUAUUUAUAUAUAUGGCAUGUAUAGCUAGACUCUCACACGCUACGUUAGUCCUAGAAUCGACUAAACCAUAGCUCUAAUACCAAUAAAAUAUAACACCUCUAACCCGUAUCCAUCGCCGGAAUAGGGUUACGAGGCAUUAUCGGAUAAUGCACAACAUUCACAUACAUUUAUGCAUUCAUAAUUAAUAUCUAUUCAACUCAUCCACAUUAUCCCUUAUAAGAUCCCACGAGACCUUAAAACAUGCUUAAAAGUGGUUCAGGACUAAACGGAUAACAUUUGCAAACUUUAGGAAACUUAUAAAAUUUUCGAUCAUUUAAGGGUCACACACCCGUAUGAAUGGGUCGUGUGCCUCACAUGCCUACCAAACACGCUCGUGUAACAGACCGUGUGAAAACAGAGCAUACAUUCUAAUUUGCACCACACGGCCCAGGACAUGCCCGUAUGCCAGACUGUGUGAAAAUUAGAGGUCUUACUGACUUGGGUCACACGGUCGGCCACACGCCCAUGUGCCAGUUCGUAUGUCACACAAGGUCAGUAGACACGCCCGUGUGUCUAGGCCAUGUCAAACCUGUAGCAUAUACUGACUUAAAUCAAAAGGGUACCCCCAGGGACACACGGCCGUGUAGCAUGACCGUGUGUCGCACACAGCUAAGACACAUGCCCGUGUCUCUACCAGUAUGAACAAAAAUAGGCUAUUUGCAAAGCCAAUUUGCCACCCUUUUCUCAAGCACACCUAGCAACCAAUAUGGUACCAUUUCCAUACAUUUAUAGGCAGCCAAAACAUGCUAAUUCAUACACAUUUCAUGCCAUUUACAAACUAUUCUCUUAACUACUCAAAUCCAUAACGAAAACAUACCAAAUCAAUAUGCCAAAAUCAUCAAACUUACAUAAUUUCUAAAUGUAUUUCCUCAUCAUCUUAUCAUCUAUAUCAUGCUUCAAACCAUACCAUUUCAUCAUCUCAAAACCAAACCACAACAUAUCAUCAUUCAAGCAUUAACUCACCAAGUGACAACUAGUUACUUGAACAACCAUAUAACCAUACCAGACAAAACAAAACAUAUGACAACUUAUACAUCAUGAAUUACUUACCAAACACCUAAUUCAAGCCAACUCGAAUGGCCAUACACACCAACAUUUACAUUAUUUCACAAGUCAUUACGAAUGGCUAAUAUCAUAUCUCAAAACUUAUCAUCAAACUACUAGCCUAUACAUGUCAUAUACCAUAUUUACAAAGCUUCAAAAGUACCAACAAGAUGAUCGAUAGUGUGAUGACGUUUCCUAAUGAUCCCCAAGUCCAAGCUAGCUUCGAUAAUCUAUAAAAUAAGGAAAGAACACACAAAGUAAGCUUUAAAAGCUUAGUACAUAUACAAAUAAAGUCAUCACAUGAAUAUUAGCAUAUCAAUUCAAAUAUUUUAAGCAUAUCUAAACACAUACAAGUUCACAAAUCUUUCUCAUUGUACACAUAUUCAAUAUCAUAAUUGAAUUCAUCAAAUACUUUCCUUUUCAAUACUCUAAUGAAUCUCAUACGUCCUCAGUCACUUAACUCGUUCACAUAUUCUUUCUCGACUUGACUUUUCCCGUUGAACCAUUCGAAAUCAUUAAGGAUACUCGGCAAUCACAUAUAGCUCGUACAACGCCAUGUUCCGAAUAUGGUCUUACAUGUUAUUACAUAUCGAUGCCACAAUCCCAGACAUGGUCUUACACGAAAUCACAAUACAAUGCUAAUGUCCCAGACAUGGUCUUACAUGUAAUCAUAUCUCGAUAACCUAAUGUCAUGACAUUUGUAUCCUAUACUAUUCCUAAGGUUCAUACGAAACUUUCGGAUAUCGUAACUUUGUCGAUUCUUUCUCGUAUUUACUCAUUCAACAUUCAUAACAGUUCAAGGACAAAUAAACAUAUAAUUCAAUUUAAAGACAUUUAUUUGCAUAUGAACUUACCUCGUAUAUACACUGAACGAAUCGGAUCGACUACUCGACAACAUUCGAUUUCCCCCAAUCUAAAUUUGAUUUCAUUCGCUCUUGAUCUAUAUACUUUUAAAAUUAACUCAUUUAUUCAUCAAAUCAUUCAAUUUAAUCCAAAAACACCUAUUUGGGCAUUUUUACACUUUAGCCCCUAAAGUUUCACAUUAUUCAAUUUAGUCUUUAUUUCACAAAAACAUAAAUUACACCAAAUUUGACAAAACCCAUGCUUGGCCGAAUUUACUAUAGAUCCCUAGCAGCCCAUAACUUUUAUUUAUUCACACUUUUAACCCCACAUUUUUAUCUUUUCACAAUUUAAUCCCUAAUUUGUAUUUUCUUAAAAAAAUCAGUUAACAAAACAUAUUAAUCUAUUAAUAAUUAUUCAUUUUCCAUCAUUAACAUUCAAAAAUAUCAAGCUAUCAUCAAUGGAAACUCACAAAUUCAUCAACCAAUAAAGAAAUUAGGGUACGGGCUAGCUAGUACUCAAAGCAACGAUCACAAAAACGUAGAAAUCAUAAAAAACCAAACUAAAAUCGUACCUUAAUCAAGAAAAGAGUUGGUCGAACCCUAUAUGAGUGUAAAAGCUUCUUUUUCUUCUUUAAUUUCGGUUAAAAGAUGAUGAUAACACAUAAUUUUGGUUUUGGUUUUAUUUAUGUUAAGUUUAUUUAACAAAUUACAUAUUUAACCUUAACUAAACCAUUUAAAAUCAUCAUAAUAUAUGCCCAUUUAUGACCAUUCCCACUAUCAAUGGUCUAUUCACAACAUACGUACCUUUGGUUUAAUAAACAACAACAAAUAGACACUCUUAACUUAUAGCAUGCUACUUUUGCAUUUGACGCGAUUUAGUCCUUUCGUCAAAUUAAGCACUCAAACGCUAAAAUUAUUUUACGAAAUUUUCACACAAACAUAUUCAUAUUGUAUAAAGACAAAAAAUAAAAUUAAAAUAAUUUUCUGACAUCAAAUUUGUGGUUCCAAAACCACUGUUCUGAUUUAGCUAAAACUGGACUGUUACACCAGCCUAAAAGUUUGGACCAAAUCUUGGAGGUUACAUUGGCCACUUUGCAGAAACAAAAACUUUAAUUCAAAUCAAGAAAAAAAUUUUGUUCGUUAUGUUUGACAAUAUUAAACUGGCGUCAAAUAUUCAGAAAUAAAAUCCUCAGUUUCUAAAGUUCAGUCCAACUAAACCUUACGAAAGUCCAACAUAAAAACUUGUACCACAAUUUAUAUAAUCAUUUUCCAAACCAACUUAAAAUUAACAAUAUAAAACUUAUGAGAUUUUACUUAAACCGAAUCAAACCGUAUCUUUCUGAGACCUCCAGUAUACCGAGUCCAACUCUAAAGCACCAAAAGUACCUAAAAGGAAAGACACUGCAGAGAUAAGCUACGCGAGCUCAGUGUGAGUCUGAAACAUGAACAGAUGGCAAAAGAUGAAGUGACACAAUAAAUACUUCAAACAUGCAUAUGCAUAAAAAUAUCACUUAUGAAAGUCUCAAUCAGUAUGUCAAAAUACAAUAUCAAACCAUAGAAAUGAUUUUCCAGUCAUACGUAAUAAUCAGAUCAUAUUACAUGACAUUAACUCUAUUGUCAAUAACCAGAAGUUCACACAAACAGACAAAAUAUUCUAACAAACAGACGUAUAUUUAGAUGCGAAUAGAUGCACAAGUCAAAAUCCCACCCACCAACCACACACCACUUUGUCCAUCCAGCACACCACAUAAGGGCUAUGGUAGGCCCGUCCACCAUGCACACUAUAUAGAACCAUAAUAGGUUCAUCCACCCAACACACCACAACGUGGAACUAUGCCACUUGAGUAACUGUAUACAGCUGAGCUGAUAUACAUAUAGGAUAGUGAGGUAAAUCGCUGUACAAAAGUAUCGCAAUUAAAUCUGCUAAGUCUAUCUUUCUUCUCUUUAUAGCCAGAUCCCAAAAUUUUCAUGCUAUGUAACAAUGCACAUAUUAUGCAGACAAUUUACAAAAAACGGACAUUAACAUUUUCCAGUUGAACAAAUUCAGAUUUGAUCACACUUGUAUUCUAAUAUUCAGUUACGACAACAAUAAUAAACUCAAUAAAAUUAAAGCCCAUAAACGCAUAUAUAUACACAAACUAAACUAAACUGAGUCUUAAACACACUUACCGAGGCUUGACUGAGGGUCGAAUUACACAGAAACAUAAAAUAGACAGUUUAUAACUCAAAACAAAAAUUCUGCAAAAUAGGGCCACAUGGCCGUGUGGAAGUGCCCAAGCCGUGUGGGGGUCUACACGCCUAUGUGGAGGCCACACACACCUGUGUGGAGGGGACACAUGCACAUGUAAGCAGCCCGUGUAACUCACUGUCCAAAAAUGCCAAAAAUAAAGAGCAGAGGGGACACGACCGUGUAGAGAUCUCACACGCCCGUGUGGGUGCACAUGCCGGUGUGGCCAGGUCGUGUGGCACUAAAAUUUUCCCAAAAACCCUUAUUCUCAAUUUCACACAGUCAUGUGAGCCACCCAUGUGGGGCACACGCCCGUGUGGCCACCCAUGUGGUCACAAUUCCACACCAAAACAGCCACAAAUUCAUGCUUUUGAUGUCGAAACAAUCCUCAACCCUUGGCAACCCAGAAUUAUGCCAAAACAUAUGGAAUUUCAUGCAAUUCAGAAACAACAUAAUACUUCAAAUAACCAAUGUCAUAAACACACAAGAUGUUAUCAAAUUUCACCGCAAUUUUAUACCGAAGUUAAACCGUUUCAGAACACACACCUUAGAACGCGAUAUCAAGCAGCACCUUUGAUAAAACGAAACGCACAAGGACGAUCUCCUUUGACAGAACGAUAAAUAAAUUGCGUAAAACAGAAGAAGCAAAAACAAACACAAUUAAAAUUGGAAAGGGUAGAAAAAAAGAACGAUGGGAAAGGAAAAAUAAAAAGUAACAGAUGAAGAACGUAAACUUAUUUUCUAUUCUAAAAAAAAAUUCUUUUUUUUAAAGUAAAAUAAAAUAACGUAAAAAAAAUAAAUAUCAAAACACUCACAAAGAUUCGAACACGAAACCCAUAAAUACACUAACACACAACUAACCACCAGACCAACAAGCCCAUUCUGACAUUAAAAUGUGAAAUUGAACCCAAAUGCUCAACCCACUCACUAACCUUAACCACAAACCUCAAAAUUUCUUACCUCAAAUUCCGGGAUGUUACAUUGGACAUGACCCAAAUAGAAUAGAUCCUAAAUUUGUUUAUGAUUUUAUUCACUUGUGACAUUUAUAGCGUGGUCUUCCUUAAUCUUGAGUGGAUGAUGGACUAUGUAUGUAUGACUCGUAUACUUUGAUGUAAGUAAAAGCCUAAGUUCAAAUAGAUAAAGAACCAAAAGCUGAUGCAUUGGGUAUACGACUUUUGUAGUAUGUACCAUCAUUCACAAUAGUGAAAUUUGUAACUCAACUAAUAGGUGAAUGAUAUCCUCUCAUCGGCAUUACAUAAUAGAUGAAAAGUAAACUCGGAGAUCCAAAGUAAGUGUCACUAAGAUCUAAAUAUAGAAGGUUUAUCAACAUCAAGACCCCCUGUGCUCAAAGUUGGAAAUUAUACCUACUAAAAAACACAUAUGAAGAUCUAUAUAAAGUCAAUUGAUGAGGAAGCACGGCAUGUUAUGUUAACCGGAUAGGAGGCACCGAAAAUGGAAAGUGACAAUAGAAGAGUUACUAAGCCUUAAAUAUAUUGGAUCAUAGAGGAAGAGAAGCAAAUAAAUAUCAAUUCAAAAGUAUUAUAUGCAAUUUUUUGUAGGGUAGAUAAGAAGGAAUUCAAAAAUUAAAGAAAUUUAUGCUUUUAGAAGUUAAAUAUGGAAUGUGAUAAUGGUAAUUCAAUUUGUUUAGUCUAUCGUACCAUUUAUAUAGGAAUGUAGCCAUAAAUUGAUUUUAUAAAAAAACAUUAGAGAAAUUUACGCUAUUAAAAUAGAAACAAUUAGUUAAUUAUAUCAAAUCAUACUAAUAAUUUACAAAUAUAUAUAUCAUUUGAAAUAUGAAACAUUAAAUAUAUAAUUUUUUGAGAACAUUAAAUACAUAUUUAAAAUAUGAAACUGUAUGUUCAUUUCAUAUUAGUAAAGUGAUGAAAGCCAUUGUUUUCAUCAAGAAAAUAAAAAUACAAAAAUGAAAAUAUUUAAAAAUUGUAUGUAUAAUUAAUGCAUAUUUAAUUAUAACGUAUGUCUAUAUAUUUUUUAAAAUAAUUUUUUUAUAAAUUCUGAUAAUAUUUGCUCUUUUUGAUAUAAUGUCUAGAACUACCCAUAAUCUCUCCUUAACCCAUAAAUUGGAAAAUAAUGUGUUUUAACGCACUCAAACCCAUAUCCUUCUAUAUUGAUAAUAAUAUUCAUAUCAAUUAAAUUAAGAUUCAAUCGACUCAUUUCCUUAUUUUUUAUUUUUUCAAGCUGUACAAAAUUUAUGUAUCCUAUUAAUUAUCUGCAAAGUGAAAGAGGAUUAAUUACAUCUAACUGUAUUAUUUUAUCUAGAUUAUUUACCAUUUCAAUUUUGGCAAUUUAAUGAUUGUUUCAAUAUAAUAAUGUAAAUACAUAUUUAAUAAUAAUGUGAGAAUUGUUAUGUAAUGGCUCACUUUUCAGUGGUGAUAGAAACAGGAGUUUUAGGGCUACCAAAUUCGACGAGUAAAUUCGUAAAUAUUAUAAUUUAAUAUUUACGAGUCAAAUGUGAUUUUUAAAAGGGUUUUUGAUUUGAUAAUUUAUGUUAUAUAAGUUAUUUAUUAAGUUCAAGUGGUUUUAGAAAAUGAGAUAUUGGGACCUUAUUUUUAUAAACCAAGCCAUAAAUACUUUUAUAAAUAUUUAUAGAGUGUCAUUAAGGUGGUAUUAAAGUUUUGUUGAAAACUUUUAACUUUUCGAUAGUUAAUUAAUUAAAAAGAACCAAAUUGAAAAAAAAAGUGCAUUCCCGGGACUCCGUUCCCGUAAUCGGACUCGUAAAUAUUUUUAAUAAAUAUUUACUAAGUUAGUUGUGUAGUUAAUUAGAUUUCGGUUAAAUAAAUUUGCAUAAAUUAAGAGUAAUUAGGUAUAAGAAUUAAAUUGCAUAUAGGGUGGAAGUUGAAUUUUAGAUUAAAGAAAAAUUAAAGGGACUAAAGAAGCAAUUAUAUCAUUGUUUCUUUAGUGAGGCGGCAUAAGAUGUAAAAUUAUUAUAUAUUAUUAAUAAAUUAAAGUUAAAAUAUAUAUUAUAAUAUAUUUUACUUAAUACUUAAGUAAAUAUAUAUAAUAUAAUAAUAAUAAUAAUAAUAAAGUAAAUAUAAUAAAACAAAUAAGUAAAUGAAAUAAAGAAAGAUAAAAGCAAAAUCAAAAUUGAGAAAGAAAAAGAAAGAAAAGAAGAAAGAAACAGAUGCAUGGUUUAGGGUUUCAAAAGUUUCCAAGUUCAAUUGGUUAAUCAAUUUAGUCUCUUUUUUUCUUGUAAAUAGUAUGCUUUUGAAAUCUCGGUAUUAAGUAUUACCCGAUCCAUGUCGAAAUCUUAGUAUUGAUUGAGUUUUUAAAUGUUGCUAAUAUUGAAUAAUUUUAGUAAUAGGGAUUAAAUUGAUAGAUUUUUAAGCUAGAAGUGAAAAAGGCUUAAAUUGUAGAAUAAAUUGUAAAUUUUGAGUAAUGUGGACUAAAUUGUGAAAAAAUUGAAAUUUAUGGGUUUAAGUGAAUAUAGGGAGUUAAAUUUAGUUUAAAGUGAAAUUUGUGUAAAAAUAUAAAAUUAAUUGUGAAGAAUAAAAAUUAGUCUCAGUUUAAGGACUAAAUUGAAAUUUAGGCAAAUAUUGAGUCAAAAUUGAAAUAUUCGAUAUGAAAUUAAAUUGCGUUAUAUUGAUGAAUUUUAAUUGUUUUAAUUUCGUAGCUAACAUCGUACGGAAAUCCUCGACUAAAAAGGGGAAAGAUAAAGUCGACGUCGAAUAGCUCAGAAUUCCUAGUUUGUAUUUCUAUAAUCCAAACCUAGUUGUUAAUUAUUGUAUUUUGAUUUAAUGUAUAUGGUAAGUGGUUGAGGUGAGUAUUUGGCACUUUGACUAUUGAAUUGAUUUAAAUUUAAUUGAAUUGGAUUGAAUUGAAUUGAUCUAUAUAUAUAUUAUGAAUAUAUAUACAAAUAUGAUAAUUGGAUAUUAGUUGUAUUUGGAAAAUGAAUUGGAACCCUAUUAACUGUAUCGGGUUGAGUCGGAUAUAAAUGGCAUGUCAUAGGAUAGGAAGAGUUCAGGGAUUUCUUCGACUUUGAGUCGAUGAGGCACUGGGUGCAAAUUUACUUAUGUUUAAUCGAUGAGACACUGGGUGUCAAAUUUAUAUAGCGCUGGGUGCAGAUACUACUUCGGAUUUAUUCGAAGAGGCACUGUGUGUCAAACUGGUGUGUUGGUUGGAUCCGUGUAUCCGUCCGAGUCCGAGUCGUGUUAAUAGGGGUAAAUAAAUAAUAAAUUUCUAUAAUUGAUAUUAAAAUGACAUGGUAUGAGAAAUGGAAAAUGAAUUGAAAAUAAAAUGUGAAAUAUGUUGUAAAUACAUGAAAUAUAUGAGUUAUAUACUCAUGAAGUGAAUAUGAAAUUGAUAAUGCCAUUGUUUAAAUGAAAUGUGAAUGAAAUGUGAAAAGCUAUUUAUAUAGCAGGUAUGAGAAUUGGGAUAUUUGUGAAACAAAUGAAAUAUGAUAUGCUAUUAGGUAUGAAUUCAAAGAGUUGACAUAUGGUAGUCGUGAUUUUUUAAAUAUUAAAUGUGUCUAUAUUUCAAUUAUACAUUUGCAAUCUCUUGUCUUUAAAUACUCGAAUUAUAGAAAUACCAAUGAGUUUUACUCAGCAUACGGUUUUGCUUUCCAUGCACAGGUUAGGUACUUAACUUUUGAACGUUGAUUCAGGAUCCAACAACGAUCCCGAACUCAAAUAUGGUGAUGUUUAUCUUUUGUGUCGGCAAGUACCUAGGGUAUCUAAAUAAUAGUUAAUUCAUAGAUUGAUUGUAAAUGAGGUUAUACGUUUAAUGCUGGUUUGGUAUAUAUAUAAACAUGUGUUUGUUUUUGAAGCCAUAUUAUGGCAUGGUAAAUUGAACCAAAUCUAAACAUGUGCGUGUGAAUUUAAGUUGUUGUUUAAGUGCUUAUGAACUAGGCAAAAUGGAUUGAAUUUGGUUUGUUUAUAAUUUGGAUUUGAAUGAUGCUUUGAUGAUAUGAAUUGAUGAUAUAAAUGUGGUACCAAUAAGGGUACAUUAGUUAGGCACCUAGGAUGAUUGUUUUGGCAUGCUUUGAAUGUGUUUGAUCUGUAAACUUCAGUAAUGCUCCAUAACCAUAUUCCGGCGACAAAUACGGGUUAGGGAUGUUACAUGUUAUACAUUUAAUUAUGCUAGAACUAUUUUCAGUCAUGCAAUUAAGAUGUUAAUUUUGGGAGGGCCAAGUUAAAAUUAGACAUGCUACAUAACAGUCGAUUUAAAUAUAUAAACAAUCAAUUCAAAAGAAGUAGUAUUCCAACAUAACAAUCAAAUUAUACAUAUAAACAAUCGAUUCAAAAGAAGAAGAAACAAUAUUCUAACAUAACAAUCGACUUAAACAUAUAAACAAAUGAUUUUUUAAAGAGCUAUAGUAUAUAUACAAAGGGAGAAAUUGUAAAAAUCUUAAACCUUGGGAGGCUUACUUAUAUUUUUGGGAGGAGCAUAAUAUAUCUACAAAAGACUAAAUUGCAAAAAUUUUAAAUCUUGGAGUACCAUGACCCCCUGGUCCUCUACUAGGCUCCGCUAUUGACUAUUAUUUACCAUAUUUUUAGUGUAUAUACACGAUUAGAUUUGACUAAUAUUACAGUCAUCUAAAAGUUUCAUUAACACUAAAACCAGCCAACAAUUAAGGUAAAAAGAAAUCAAAUUAUGGUAAGUUUAUAAUUAUAUAGACGUUACUGAAAACUGUGACCCACUCUUAAAUACAAAUAAAUUUCUCAUCAAGAUAGCCUUAAAAGAUGAAUUGCCAAGCAUCAAAAUGUUUCAAAUUUCCCUCAUAAAAGAAUUUCCAUUUAUAUAAUUCUCAACAACAACACAACCAUAUUAAUUUUCAUUUGAAGCUCUCUUUUCUGACGAUUCUCUAAAAAAAACCCAAAUAUGAAGAAUUCUCACAUUUCUUCUCUUGUUUUCUUCUACCUUUUGCUUGUCUCAGUGAGCUCCAAUCUUAUUCAAGAAUCUUGCAACAAAGCUGCAAAGCUUGAUCCCCAAACUAUAAAGGUGGACUUUUGUGUAUCAAAAUUUGAAGGGAAUCCCAAAGCCAAAUUAGCUACUACUAUUUCAGAUUUAGUUGAAGUCUCUAUUGAGGCUUCCAUAACUAACGCGACGAGCAUUGGAUCCAAGCUUUUGGAAAGAAAAAGCCUUGAAUCUUUUGAAAGGAACGGCUUGAAAAAUUCCUAUUGGCUUUACUCUCUUGUAGGGACUUGUUUAUAAGGUGCUGAGGAGGUUUUUAAGGCUAAAAAUUAUGCAACUGCUUGUGUAGACAUAGUUGCUUCUAUUGAAGCACCAAUGAAUUGUGAAGACUAGUUCAAGAAGAAGAAAGGGUUCGUGUCACCGUUGACAAAGGAAAACAGUAUAUUCUUUCUGCUAACUAACAUCUCUCAUAUGUUCAUGACCAUAGUCCAAAAAGGAUGAUCAUACUUAUAUGUCUAUCUCUUUCUCUCUCUCUCUCUCUCUCUCUCUAUAUAUAUAUAUAUAUAUAACGUCACUCUAAUAAUUAAGAACAAUUGGUCAUCCAUGUCUCUAUGCAAAAAUCUUAUCUUCAAAUUUUAAUACACUUCAAAUUAUAUUCUGUUAAUUAUAACAUUAAAAUUAUGAUAUUAGUUUAGGAUGCAUUUUGGAUCUUAAUGUAACGCCCCAAAAUUUAUAUUUUUGGUUUUGUUAGUAUAUGACAAAACAGUGUAUUACUUUAGUGGUUAAGUGUUCUGGGAAGUGUUUGAGAAGUCUUGGGUUCGAGCUUUGACUUUGGUGAAUUUUUUUGAUAUUUUUAUGAAUGAAGCCCUAUCUCUAGUCAGUAGGCUCUAAUUAAAGGUUUGUUAAAUUAUAUCAAAAUGGGCUUGUUGGUCUAGUGGUUAAGUGGAGUGUUAAUUUGCUAGUGGUCUUAAGUUCAAAUCUUUGCAAGAGCAAGGGACUUCAUUUGGUGCUAGUACCGUGUAGGAAUUUGAGUUUUAGUAAAAUUCUGAGUAGUGGGGUAAUGGAGUGAAUCAAUGGUAGUUACUGUCAGACUUUUAGUUGUUGGGAAAAUCAUUUCUUUUCUCUCACCUCAAAAAGUCUCUGUCGUUUCUCCUCCUUCUUCCCCAUUUUUUCUACCGAAAAUUCAAUCAUCUUCUUACUCUCUCUUUUGCAGUUUUGUUUCUUAUUGUGCAAUGUUGGAUUGCGCGUGCGUGGUAAGUCUUUCUUUUGGGUAACCUUAAUGCUUUUCCUGAUUAAGUGAUUGAAGAUGAGUUUUGGUGGCAGGAAUCAAUCAAGGGGCUGUGCAUCAGUCUCAAUCACUAUUUUAAAGGUGUGAAAGUGCUGUUUUUAUUUCGAAGGUAAGAGUUGUCGCUCAAAUGGUGAAAAUUUCCGUUUUGGGUUUUGGUUAGUUCGGUUGUUUAAGUGAUUAAUCGAGUGUAUACUAUACAAUUAUAUGUUGGAAUUGCUUUGAGUGAUUUUUACAUCGAAAACAAACCAGGUGUGUACCCAAAAUGCUGAAAACAGGGAUCGACGAAAAGCCAAAAAAGUAUUUUGUCGAUGCUACAUGGCCGACCAUGUGCCCUAACAUGGGCGGUUGGUCGACGAGCCAGGCCGUACGCGCAUGACACGACCGUGUGAUGGUCAGGUAGGCCAUGUGUGACACUUGGGCUCGACCAAUUUGGGCCGUGUAGGCCAAAUGGGCGUGUAGGCCCAUAUGGGUGAACCACACGGGUGUAUGGGAUGUUGGGCCAGGCCGUGUGAUCUAUACGGCUAAGGCUAAUCUGAGUCGUGUAGGCCAUACGGGCGUGUGGGCCCACACGAGCAGAUCACAUCGACAUGUGGGCCCAAUUUACUGAUUUGUUUGCUAAUGUUGCAUGGGUCGCCCGAGUCGGAUGUGAAUCUACUGUGGGGUCGGUAAGCAAUGUUUUGAUCCCUACUUGACUAAAUGAUAUAUGUAUGACUGUUUACUGAGCAUGGUUAGAAUACUGUACUGAUUAUAUGCAUGACACUUUGUGAUAGCAUGCCAUGACUAUAUGUUGCAUUGUAUGGGAAUGGGAUGAUAUAUAUGGAGGAAGUGUAUUGAAAGGCUUUAAGCCUAAUAUACUGGCAGCUCAGCUGCAAAUAACUGUCUAGUGUCACUUCUGGUACUAUUUUGGAGUGUAGGGAUGGGUGGGUUGAUUAUAUCCCCACAUGGAGUGUAGGGUUGGACGAAGAUGGUUUGUAGAGGCUGGCUAGGUAGGACUUUUUUAUUGCAUAAUCUGUUACUGUACUAAUUACUGAUACUGUAAUGGGCCAAUGCCCAAAUGCAUGACUGUUUUUGUACUGAGAUGGGCUAAAUCCCUAACUGAUACUGUCACUGAAACUGAAAAGGGCUUAGGCCCAGACUGAGUUUAUUUUGUAUACUGUUUGUUUGUUUGCAUAGGGAAUUACACACUGAGUUUACAUAAACUCACCCCUUCGCUUAAUCUGUGCAGGUAGUCCCCAGUCUUGACGAAUCGGUACAGCGGAGGACUUGGCGGUGGCCACACGAAUCUAAACUUUUUCUGCAACUUUGGGUAUUUAAUUUUUAAUUAUAUCCUGGGGUAAUUUUUGAUGUAAAUUGCAGACUUUCUGAGACUUUUACUUAAUUUGGGACAUUAUUUAAUUUUUAUGGUUUAUAACUACUAAGAUGUUUAAAAACUCAGUUUUCAAAAAGGCAAAGUUUUCUCUAAACACGUGAUUUACUCAAAACGAAUUUUAAAAGCUUGCGCAAUAAAACGUGUAAAAACGAACGACUAGAUAAGUAACGAUUUUGGGGUUAACAAGUGUAAACAAAUGGAAAAUUAUUUUAUCGUAACAACCUAGUUUCAAACGCUAUCAUGUGACAUCACCAGAUUCAGCCACAAUGUCUAGGCCGGGUUUGGGGUGUUACACUUAAAUUGAUUUACAAAUUAAUAUAUAAAUAUAUCAUUUAAAUAAGAAAUAUUAAGUGAGUGAUGUAUUGUAACAUCUCAUACCUAGUCCAGGCGUUAUGGUUGAAUCUUGAGGAAUUACAUAUAUUCGUUUCAAAAUAAAAAAUUUGAAAUUUGAAAGGGUAACAUAAAACAAAACUUGGUAAUGAUAUUUCCAGUUUUUAGGGAAAAACACCUUAUUCGAAUAAUUCAUUUUAAUUACAGAAAAAAACUUAUAAGAUUACUUAAUUUUAUAACGGAAAUCUUAAAUUAACCAGAGUUUUGAAAACCGUAAUUUGAUUUUGAAAUUCAUCGCAUUGUAGUUUGAAAUAAAAUAAUCAAAAAAAUGAUAAAGUAGUUCAAAGCGAAGAAUAAAAUCCAAAAUAAAUAACAAUCCCCAAAUAGUCCAAAAACUGUCCAAUUGAAAAUAAUAUUUAAACUCAAUAGAAUUCAAAAACAAUAAUUUAAAUCAAACUCUUGCUACAUCAAUCUGUCCUAAGUUUGUUGGUUACCUGGGAGGAAAACAUAUAGAAAGUGAGCUUACAAGUUCCGUGUGUAACACAUCCCAAAUAACAAUCAAAUGCACAUAAAUUAACAAAUACAUUUCAGAUGCAUGAACAGAUUCAAAAUAAGAUGUAUUUUUAUAAUCAGAUACAGAUGCAGAAUCAGAUACAUAUUCAGAUGCAUAAAUAGAUCCUACCCUUAUCCGCUAAAAACCAUCUCCAUCCAUCCCUGCACACCAAAUAGAGUAUUAAAUACCCAUCUAACCCCACACACCAAUUAGUGAGUGUAUGUCACUUUUAAGAAAUAGUGCAGCCAAGUUGCCAGAUAAUAAUACGCGGUAAACCAUUAGAAUCAGAUAUCUAUGGUCAAGUCACCAGAUAAGACAAAUUAUUAAAUUGUCAUCACUUCCUUCAUCAAUCAUAUUCUCACCCCCAAUGCACAUGCAAUUGUAAUCAUAUAUUAAUUGCAUGUAUGACAUACAUGCUAUACACAUCGGAUUUUAAAUCACUUCGGAGAAAUCACAUCAUACUAUUACAUAUGACAUACAAGCUAUACAUAUCAUGCUUUCAGAAAUUUCAUUUUACAGAAAUAGAAUAUCAGAUACCAUGUUUUACAGUCUUAUUUACACAAUAUGGGCCCUACAGAAGAGCUAAAUUCGAAUAGCACAUCAAUGGAAACUUCAGAAAUUUUUAACAGUUUUAAAAACAGGGGUAGGGGUUAGCUAGACCAACAAUCUCAAAAAUAUAAAAAUUAUAAAAAAAAACCAUCAAAAACGACUUACCAAUUGGAGCUUGAAGCUAGACAUGAGCUAAGUCUCCUUCUCCCCCUUUUUGUUUCGAUUAUAAGAUGAAGAAGAUGAAUGAAUUAUCUUUUUUCUUUUGUUUUCUUCAUUUCUUUUCUUAUUUAUUUAACUAUUAUAACAUAUAAUAUAAUGAUUUAUAUUUUAAUAAACGUUACUUUUUAACUAAAUAACCCUGUACAACACUUUUAAAAAUGGUAUAUUUACCAUGCAAGUCCAUUUACUUUCAUUUUCAUAGCCAUUUGACCCCUUUAACUAAUAGAACUCAAUUUUUACAUUUUUUACGAUUUAGUUCUUUUCAUUUAAUUAACCAUUUAAACAUCCAAAUUUAUUAACAAAACUUUAAUACAACCUUAAUAACACUCUGUAAAUAUUUACGACUCAAUUUAUAGAAACGAUGUCCCAAUACCUCAUUUUCUAAAACCACUUGACUUUAAGGUCAUAACACUUGAACCUAAUUAUUCAUUCAAAAAAAAUAAAUUGCCAAUUCAAAUUUUAUUUUAAUACUAUAAUUGACUCAUAAAUAUUAAAUAUUAGCAUUUACGAACUUACUCGUUGGAUUUGUAGCCCUGGAGGCACUGUUUCCGACACCUGUGAAAAAUGAGCUGUUACGUGGAAAACAUUUGAAAAUAAAUGUACUUUUCUCUAAAUGGAAAUGACUUGAAUAAUUAAUUUAUGAUUUUUUGAAUUUAUUAUUUAAUUGGUUAGUUAAAAAAUGAAGUUUAAAAAUGGAAAUAAGUUAAUUGGUCAAAUGAAUUCGUUGUAUGUAGAAAUAUUAAAUAUAUUUUCUUAUAUAUUCUUUUACAGUAAAAUCAUCAUGAUUUUAACGGAAUUAGAAUUGUGUUAAAAAAAUUAUUUAAUUAGGAAAUUAAUUAAUUAAAAUUAAUUUAAUAUAUUUAUUUUGGGAAAUAGAAAAAUAAAUAUCGAGUUAGAUUGAAUUAUAAAUGAAUAAGUUAAAACUAUAAAAAGUAAUUAUAAUUAGACUCAAUAUAUGAGAGGCCCAAAAGCCCCUUAUAUUUAAUGUUAGGGACAACAAAUCUUAGUUUAUUAUUUAACUAAGGUUGCUGACCCACCUAAUCCAAUUUAGACAAGGAGUUCAUUUUUCUGUUGAAAUAAACUUCUACAAUUCAACCAAGGUUUCACCUCUUCUCCCUGUAAAUAGAUGACAUGGGUAGGGUUAUAUACUCAAGUUUGAGAUAUUGUUAUUCUACUCAAAAAUAGUUAGAAUUUAUUUUCUAAGUAUAAAUUCUAUUUUCUGGAAUAAUAAUUCUAUUGGUUUCUAUUUAUUUGAAUUCGUUUGAGCUCACACUCGAAGCUGUUCGUGGUACAAGAAUAGCAGAGAAUGUCGUUCGGUUGAAACCUGUAACGACAAGGAUCCAUUUAGCUGAAGACAUAUGUGCGAUUACGAUAAAGGUUUUAUUGCAAUAUAUAUCACAAAUCAACUCAAUUUUCAAAAUUUUAAUUUUCCGCUAUGCUAAAAGUUCAUUCUCGAAUCAGAAUUUUUCCAACAGAAUGGCCUUUAAUGAUGAUAGGGGACUAGAUUGUAAAAGAAAGAAAAAAAAUUCUUCUCCCUAAAUUCUUGUGACAUGAAAGAGAAAAAGAUGAUGAUGAAGAAUCUUCUCUAUUUUUCCUUUAAAAUAUCAUCAUUAUUAUUACUAUAAAAUAUAAUAAUAGUAAUAUCAGUAAUAAUAAAAUAUAAAAUAAAAUAUUAUAACUUAUUCAUAAAAAUCUUUGUAAUAGGCCCAUUUCGCCCGGGCCCACACAAAAACCAAAAAAACAAAAUAAAUAAAAUCAAAUGUUUUAAUAGUCCCAGUCCAUUUACAUUUAUAGCCCAAUAAACCCCAAAGAGCCUGAGUUAAUUUAAAACCUAAAUAAGUCCAUAUCAAUUAGCCUAAGUACAAAAGCCCAAAAAUAACAGCCCAAAUUUAAACCUUUGGCCCAAGUAAAAUUAACCCAAAAAGGCCCGAUGUCUAAACUCUUUCAGAAACCCUAAGGGUUUCUGAAGUUUCCUCGCUCCGCAAUAGCCUCCAAGCUCCAGCAGCUUGACUCCGGGAUAAGCUCACAGGGCCCAAGCAGGUUGAAGCUUCUGGAAGCCUCUACUACAGUUCCCACGAACAGCCCCACUGCGUCAGCAACACCAUGACCUUCCUCCUGCAACAGAUUAACAAACGAAAACAGCAAACAAGCCAUGGGCAGCAAAUAACAGCAAAUUACAAGAAGGAAAUUUGUAUUUAUUUUAUUUUAUUUUUCAGCUAUAAAGACCGAAUGAAACGAUGUAAAUGGGAUCUUUUUUCACAGAAAUACACACGCAUAUUGAAAGAAAGAAAAAUCAAUUCGAAAUCAAUUUUUAAGGGGAUUUUAGAUCGUUUUCUUCUUUGAUUUUUGUUUUUAUUUCCUCAAUCCGUAUACACGGAUAUUAAAAAAAGACAAAGGAUCCUAGAUCAUUUUUUUAGAAGAAAUCGACAUAGCAAAUACAGAGGAAAAAGAAAGAUCUCUUACCUAUCGAUCUGCGCAGAUCUAGUCGGUGGUUGUUUCACCGGUCCAAAGGUAGAUGGAUCUUGAGGAUUCGACUUAAACCAUGACGGAGUAGGUGUGUUUGGUGCCACCGUCGCACGUAGAUCGAUCGAAGGGAAAGAGGGCAGUAAGAGGAUUGAGGGAAAAUUUUUCUUAAAAAAA